ACAGCAGCCGCCGCGGGAACACGAAGGGUGCAAGCGUUACUCGGAAUUACUGGGCGUAAAGCGUGCGUAGGUGGUGGUUUAAGUCCGUUGUGAAAGCCCUGGGCUCAACCUGGGAAUUGCAGUGGAUACUGUGUCACUAGAGUGUGGUAGAGGAUAGUGGAAUUUCCGGUGUAGCAGUGAAAUGCGUAGAGAUCGGAAGGAACAUCUGUGGCGAAGGCGACUAUCUGGGCCAACACUGACACUGAGGCACGAAAGCGUGGGGAGCAAACAGGAUUAGAUACCCCCGUAGUCCCUGUCUCUUAUAA
rnacentral:rRNA from 1 species